rnacentral:snRNA from 1 species
GGAUGUGAGGGUGAUCUGGCUGCGACAUCUGUCACCCCACAGAUGGCCAGGGUUGAUUCGGCUGAUCUGGCCGGCUAGGCGGGUGUCCCCUUCCUUCCCCACCGCUCCAUGUGCAUCCCUCCUGAAGCUGCAUGCUCGGUCGGUCGAAGAGGACGGCCUUCCCUGAAUAGAGACAGACCAGUAUACGAGUAGCUGCGCUCCCCUGCUAGAACCUCCAAACAAGCUCUCAAGAGCACAGGGAUGGUUUCUACCAUCCUUAGAGAUUUUACUUUCAAUACAAGUAGGUCAUAUUUGCUAAGCUUU